GUGAAGAAAGAGAUUGCGUGAAUACAGUUUUCCUUGUCAAAACAACAAAGAAAUAGACCAGAACAAGAUUAUUUUGAGGAUUUUGAGGACUUACCCGAAGUGGGACUUUGAUUUCCAGUACGAAAUUCUCAACAAAAGUGUCUAACAGAAUUGACGCAGGCAACAGAAGAGGAAAGAUCAAGCCGAUGACACAAAGAAUCACAAGGAAAUUUUCGAAAAAUCGGGCUAGGCGGCUUGGGCGGCUGUGUGCAAUAUCAAAUUAGUUUCUUUAGGUUUUUUUAUUUUCUUUUUUGUAAUUAAAUUGGUGUGUGAUGUUGUUAGUGUGGUGUUCAUUUUGCCAUUGGCUUCUUUCUCUUUGCUUUCAGAUGGCUGACAUUGUUACAGAACAAUGGAUUCAAAUUCAGCGGCUUGAGCAGGCUCUUCAUAUUACACAAGCUUUUAAGGUUGAGGCAAUGACCCUUCAAUUUUGAAGGAUAUCAAAGAUUAUUCAGCAAACAUCUCCAAUUUUGAAGGAUUCAAAAGGUGACAAAUAUUUUAAUCUGAUAUCUUAACAAUUUGUGUCUAAUAAUGGCUAAUAUGCCGUUAGAGAAACAGAGAUAGAGGUGUGCAUAUCACUGUGCUGGUUGUAACAUUUGGCUAAUAUGUACCUACAAGAACUAUGAAUAUGUCUGUUUUCUAACUGUCCAGCAUUCAGUCCCAUAUAGCGUGGCUGGUCUAACAGAUGUUCUAUAAACUUAGCUUUCAAUUCCAGCAAAAUAUGAUGAUCACUCUAUAUAUAUGCUUAACAAAACCCUCCAUUUUACCUAUCGAGCUUUGAUUCUAUGAGCCACAUCAUCUCCAUUCUCCCCUUGUAUAUAUGGAUGAUUGAGUACAUGCU